rnacentral:rRNA from 1 species
GCGCGAAAACUUUGCAAUGCGGGAAACCGUGACAAGGGAACUCUGAGUGCCCGUUAAAUCGGGCUGUCCAUCGGUUUAAAUAACCGGUGAAGAAAGGGCCGGGCAAAACCGGUGCCAGCCGCCGCGGUAAUACCGGCGGCUCGAGUGGUGGCCACUAUUACUGGGCUUAAAGCGUUCGUAGCUGGUUUGUUAAGUCUCUGGGGAAAUCUUCCGGCUUAACCGGAAGGCGUUUCAGGGAUACUGGCAGACUAGGGACCGGGAGAGGUGAGAGGUACUCCAGGGGUAGGAGUGAAAUCCUGUAAUCCUUGGGGGACCACCUGUGGCGAAGGCGUCUCACCAGAACGGCUCCGACAGUGAGGGACGAAAGCUGGGGGAGCAAACCGGAUUAGAUACCCCGGUA